AUUGAACGCUGGCGGCAGGCCUAACACAUGCAAGUCGAGCGGCAGCGGGAAAGUAGCUUGCUACUUUUGCCGGCGAGCGGCGGACGGGUGAGUAAUGCCUGGGGAUCUGCCCAGUCGAGGGGGAUAACUACUGGAAACGGUAGCUAAUACCGCAUACGCCCUACGGGGGAAAGCAGGGGACCUUCGGGCCUUGCGCGAUUGGAUGAACCCAGGUGGGAUUAGCCAGUUGGUGAGGUAACGGCUCACCAAGGCGACGAUCCCUAGCUGGUCUGAGAGGAUGAUCAGCCACACUGGAACUGAGACACGGUCCAGACUCCUACGGGAGGCAGCAGUGGGGAAUAUUGCACAAUGGGGGAAACCCUGAUGCAGCCAUGCCGCGUGUGUGAAGAAGGCCUUCGGGUUGUAAAGCACUUUCAGCGAGGAGGAAAGGUCAGUAGCUAAUAUCUGCUGGCUGUGACGUUACUCGCAGAAGAAGCACCGGCUAACUCCGUGCCAGCAGCCGCAGUAA
rnacentral:rRNA from 1 species